rnacentral:rRNA from 1 species
GAUGAACGCUGGCGGCGUGCCUAAUACAUGCAAGUCGAGCGAACAGACGAGGAGCUUGCUCCUCUGACGUUAGCGGCGGACGGGUGAGUAACACGUGGAUAACCUACCUAUAAGACUGGGAUAACUUCGGGAAACCGGAGCUAAUACCGGAUAAUAUAUUGAACCGCAUGGUUCAAUAGUGAAAGACGGUUUUGCUGUCACUUAUAGAUGGAUCCGCGCCGCAUUAGCUAGUUGGUAAGGUAACGGCUUACCAAGGCGACGAUGCGUAGCCGACCUGAGAGGGUGAUCGGCCACACUGGAACUGAGACACGGUCCAGACUCCUACGGGAGGCAGCAGUAGGGAAUCUUCCGCAAUGGGCGAAAGCCUGACGGAGCAACGCCGCGUGAGUGAUGAAGGUCUUCGGAUCGUAAAACUCUGUUAUUAGGGAAGAACAAAUGUGUAAGUAACUAUGCACGUCUUGACGGUACCUAAUGAGAAAGCCACGGCUAACUACGUG